CCUACGGGGGACAGCAGUGGGGAAUAGUGCACAAUGGGGGAAACCCUGAUGCAGCGACGCCGCGUGAGAGAAGAAGGAUUUCGGUAGGUAAAGCUCUAUCAGCAGGGAAGAAAAUGACGGUACCUGAGGAAGAAGCUCCGGCUAAAUACGGGCCAGCAGCCGCGGUAAUACGUAUGGAGCAAGCGUUAUCCGGAUUUACUGGGCGUAAAGGGAGCGUAGGCGGCCUGCCAAGUCUGAUGGGAAAUACCGGGGCUCAACCCCGGGGCGGCAUGGGAAACGGGCAGGCUGGAGUGCCGGAGAGGCCGGCGGCCUUCCUAUUGUAGCGGUGAACUGCGUAGAUAUUAGGAGGAACCCCAGUGGCGACGGCGGCCUGCUGGACGGUGCCUGCCGCUGAGGCUCGACCGCGUGGGGAGCAAACAGGAUUAGAUACCCUUGUAGUC
rnacentral:rRNA from 1 species